GAUAAAUGUCAGAUUUAGUUUAAUGUAACAAACAUUUAACAGUUUUUUUACUGUUUUCCUUUAGAACGCUGUCUUUAAUCAUCUUGUACGGUAAUAAAAUCUUCUUUCUGCUCCUGCUGCCUCUAAAGCUAAAGAAGCCCAAACGUGUUUCUGUCUGUGAUGAAUUCCUCUCCAUCCAUCCCAGAGCUUCUGACCGAGGCUCCAUCUGAAAUGUCAGCGCUGUUGUUUCAGCUCCUGCAGGGUGAGCAGCACCUGGCUCGAUUAAUUUAUACCUGCAGCUCUCACAGUGAUGACAGCUGCAGGGAGGAAUAAAAUGUGCAAUGAAAGCUAACCUUCUCUUUGUUCCUGCGAGAGCCGGGCUGUGUUUAACACGGCGGGGUCCGGCAGGGCUCCCUGUCGGAGAAUCCAGCCGAGGAGCUUUUCCAUUCCAGGGUCGGAGGUUAAUUGGGUAUGAAAAUCCAAACACAAGGAUCAUUCUCUUCUAAAUCCACGGAGAGUCCUGUCAGAGAUGAAAGAAAGGAGGACAGAAAGGCUGAAAAAGCUGUGCUUCCAGAAUUAAACCUCCCAUCUCGUCAGUUUGUCUGCCUCACCUGAGCGGGAUCGGACCGGCUCGGCGGUGACAGGCAGUGACUUUGGCCUUUUGUUCCCGUCCUGACACCAGCUUUCAGUCAUGGAGGGAACUUCUGGGACACAAACUGCAGCAGAUUAAGACCCAGGAUCCGUUCUGACGGAGGUCAUCCAGAACAGAACACCUGGAAGUCCAUCAAAGUGAAUCCUGUCAGGUCAGAGUCAGGCCUUCGCUCGUUCUCUCCUUUCAGAUGUUAGAACUCAAAGCAUCACUUUGACUCGGAGCUGUGAGGAUGAAACCAGAUAACAGGAUCAGACUGAAUCCUUUGAUCAGAUCAUCAGAUGAAGACUAAAGCUAAUGGAUCAGAUCAGACUGAAGUUAGUCGGUGUUUUUAUGUAAGCAGAGAUCUGGUUGAGAAGCAGAUUUUUAAUACUGAUGCAGCUUUAGAGGAAGUGGUCGUCUGAAUUCAUCAGAUGACAACGUAAAGAAGAUCUGAUGUCAUUGUAAUGCUGACCCGUCUGAUGAAGAGGAGAUCCGUCAGUUACAUGCGUGAGCAGAUCCCUCAAACAUUUUCCUAAAGUUUUGUGGCUCCUAAGCUGCAUUUUCCUGAACCGUUUCCAGCUUCUAACGCCGUUUCCUCAUGGAUCUCUGGGAGGUUCGGCUGACUGGCCGCAUGUGAAUGAGAGGAACCGGAACCAGAACGCCGUCAUGAACUCUCUCCUGGUUUGGUCCAGAUAUUUCUCCACAGAGAAGAGUGGAAGUGAAACAGGGGAGAAGGAUUUCUGUAAACUCUUGAAGCUCAGACUGAAUUUGGUUCCAGUUCAUUUCUGAUAGAUUCUAGUUCUGGUCGUUUUGGGAUGUUUAUCAGUUGAGUUUAUAAAUAUUUUCUGUGUCCAGUUCAUAGAAGCAGCCGUUAGAGUUUGCAUUCGGAGCUGCUCAUCAGUUUGAGUUUGUCGUAUCACUGAUGCGACUCUUUUGUCCGUGAAGCGGCAGCAGCUCCGAGUUUACA